rnacentral:rRNA from 1 species
GAUGAACGCUGGCGGCGUGCCUAAUACAUGCAAGUCGAGCGAACAGACGAGGAGCUUGCUCCUCUGACGUUAGCGGCGGACGGGUGAGUAACACGUGGAUAACCUACCUAUAAGACUGGGAUAACUUCGGGAAACCGGAGCUAAUACCGGAUAAUAUAUUGAACCGCAUGGUUCAAUAGUGAAAGACGGUUUUGCUGUCACUUAUAGAUGGAUCCGCGCCGCAUUAGCUAGUUGGUAAGGUAACGGCUUACCAAGGCAACGAUGCGUAGCCGACCUGAGAGGGUGAUCGGCCACACUGGAACUGAGACACGGUCCAGACUCCUACGGGAGGCAGCAGUAGGGAAUCUUCCGCAAUGGGCGAAAGCCUGACGGAGCAACGCCGCGGGAGUGAUGAAGGUCUUCGGAUCGUAAAACGCUGUUAUUAGGGAAGAACAAAUGUGUAAGUAACUAUGCACGUCUUGACGGUACCUAAUCAGAAAGCCACGGCUAACUACGU